rnacentral:tRNA from 1 species
GCACAGAUGGUGUAACGGCAACAUCACGGUUUCCAAGUCCGUUGUUCUGGGUUCAAAUCCUAGUCUGUGCG